GAAACACUCCUUUACACACUUGUCGCAGAGAGCACAGAUAGAGGGGAUCCCAAGUGCUAGUUCGUAAGAGCUAGCUGUUUUUCUGUCUAAAAAACAGUGAGAGUAAGGGCUGGGUAAGACGGGUGCCAGCCGCCGCGGUAAUACCUGCAGCCCAAGUAGUGACCGUUAUUAUUGGGCCUAAAACGUCCGUAGCCUGUUUGGUAAAUGCUUGGGUAAAUCGUGUGGCUUAACCAUACGAAUACCGGGUAGACUGCCAGACUUGAGACCGGGAGAGGUUGGAGGUACUCCUGGGGUAGAGGUGAAAUUCUGUAAUCCGGGGGGGACCACCAGUGGCGAAGGCGUCCAACCAGAACGGGUCUGACGGUGAGGGACGAAGCCCUGGGGGGCAAACCGGAUUAGAUACCCGGGUAGUCCAGGGUGUAAACGCUGCUUGCUUGAUGUUAGGUCGGCUCCGAGCCUGCCUAGUGUCGGAGAGAAGUUGUUAAGCAAGCUGCCUGGGAAGAACGGUCGCAAGACUGUAACUUAAAGGAAUUGGCGGGGAAAAGGGCGAAUUCCCCGCCCCCUAAAUUCAAUUCCCCCUAUAGUGAGUCGUAUUACAAUUCACUGGCCGCGGUUUUAAAAA
rnacentral:rRNA from 1 species